rnacentral:rRNA from 1 species
GGGCCCGCACAAGCGGUGGAGUAUGUGGUUUAAUUCGAUGCAACGCGAAGGAACCUUACCAGGGUUUAGACAUACCUGCUGAAUCUUUGGAAACAGAGAGUUGCCUUCGGGAACCGCAGUUAGAAGUCAGGUGGUUGCAUGGCUGAUGCCGUCAGCUCGGUGCUGUCGAUGGAGAUUGUUGGGGUUAAAGUCCCCGCAACGAGCGCAACCCACGUCUUUAGUUGCCAGCAUUUAGUUGGGCACUCUAGAGAGACUGCCGGUGAUAAACCGGAGAAGGUGUGGAUGACGUCAAGUCAUCAUGCCCCUUACAUCUGGGCUACACACGGUACUACAAUGCUACGGACAAAAGGGGCAGCAAAGUUCGCGAGGACAAGCAAAAUCCCCAUAAAACGUGGCUC